rnacentral:tRNA from 2 species
GGCCCCAUCAUCUAAUUGGUUAGGAUACCGCCCUCUCAAGGCGGGUGCACGGGUUCGAAUCCCGUUGGGGCUA